rnacentral:ncRNA from 1 species
GCCGCUGAAUUUAAGCAUAUUAUUAAGCGGAGCGAAAAGAAAACUAACAAGGAUUCCCCUAGUAACGGCGAGGCGGUGAACGGGGAAGAGCCCCCAACCACGAAUCCCUUGGCGCAAGUCAACGGGAAAUGUGGUUGUUAAGGUUAGCCCUUUCGUGUCAGUCUAGGCGUCCUCAAGUCCACCUGAUUGUGGCUCAAGCCCCAGAGGAGGGUGUUAAGCCCGUAGAGACGCUCCGACGCUGAUUCCCUGGGCGGGUUUACCUACGAGUCGGCUUGUUUUGGGAAUGCAGCCCGGCCAAGAGCGGGUGUAAACUCCAUCCAAGGCUACAAUACUGGCCACGAGUCCGAUAGCGGACAAGUACCGUGAGGGAAAGUUGAAAAAGAACUUUGAGAGAGAGUUACAAUAGUACGUGAAACCGCUUUAGAGGCCAAACGGAUGGUGCUCAUACUUGGCCUGAGGAAUUCAACUGUGACGGUGGCUGACGGAGCUGGCGUUCCGAUCUCUCUUUUUGGGGAACGCGCGCGUCGUCGGUUUGGCUAUCAGCUCCGACAUGGUGCCACUUUCCUUGGUGCCUCCGCACAACGACACGACGACACUGGCUACCCGCGGCGCUGGCGUAAGGUGACAAAACAAACUGCUUCGGCAAUUUUGUGUUAUAGAGACCCCGGCGUCGGACAUGGUUUGGCCAGGACGUCGAGCUUGCGAGCUCGCCCGCCUCCUUGUGGGCUCUCGCAUGUUGGCUAGCUGGCUGCGCGAUGCUUGCACUGGACAACCAGUACAGCGUGACGGUUGUGCGUCUGUGUCUCUAGUUGGCCUCUGCGAGUUUGGCCGCCUAUAGUCUGUUGGUGUACUUAGUGGGUAGACUAUCCGACCGUCUUGAAACACGG